rnacentral:rRNA from 1 species
CUACGGGAGGCAGCAGUGAGGAAUAUUGCACAAUGGGGGGAACCCUGAUCCAGCAAUGCCGCGUGUGUGAAGAAGGCCUGCGGGUUGUAAAGCACUUUCGGUUGGGAGGACUGCUUCUAGCACUAAUAUUGUUGGAAGUUGACGUUACCUUCAGAAGAAGCACCGGCUAACUCCGUGCCAGCAGCCGCGGUAAUAGGGGGGGUGCAAGCGUGAAUCGGAAUUACUGGGCGUAAAGCGCGCGUAGGCGGCUAGAUCAGUCGGGUGUGAAAGCCCCGGGCUUAACCUGGGAACUGCAUCCGAUACUGUCUAGCUUGAGUACAGGAGAGGAGAGUGGAAUUCCACAUGUAGCGGUGAAAUGCGUAGAUAUGUGGAGGAACACCAAUGGCGAAGGCAGCUCUCUGGCCUGAUACUGACGCUGAGGUGCGAAAGCGUGGGGAGCAAACAGGAUUAGAUACCCUUGUAGUC